UUAUAGCACUUUAUAUAUUUGACAUAAUAAUUAGAAAAAUUUGAAACUAACUGUAAAGCUCUACAAUUUUUUUUAAAACAACACAAAAUACAAAAGUUUGCUGCUUAGUGGUUAUGGACAAGUAACAAGUAGAAUUACCGAUUUCGGGCUCGUGAAGCUUGGAUAUUUGCGUGGUUGCAGCAAAACUGAAGAAUUGGAAUCCUCAUCGUAGUUGCCACAAGCCUAAGUAUCCAAGAUCCGUCUUCAAAACCUGAAGAUAGAAGCGUACAGAUUUUCCGAGAACUAAUGGAAAAAAGCAUAAGCAAUCGUGGAUUUUUUACACUAGCUCAUCGA
rnacentral:sRNA from 1 species